CCUACGGGCGGCUGCAGUGGGGAAUAUUGGACAAUGGGCGAAAGCCUGAUCCAGCAAUGCCGCGUGAGUGAUGAAGGCCUUAGGGUUGUAAAGCUCUUUUACCCGGGAUGAUAAUGACAGUACCGGGAGAAUAAGCUCCGGCUAACUCCGUGCCAGCAGCCGCGGUAAUACGGAGGGAGCUAGCGUUGUUCGGAAUUACUGGGCGUAAAGCGCACGUAGGCGGCUUUGUAAGUCAGAGGUGAAAGCCUGGAGCUCAACUCCAGAACUGCCUUUGAGACUGCAUCGCUUGAAUCCAGGAGAGGUGAGUGGAAUUCCGAGUGUAGAGGUGAAAUUCGUAGAUAUUCGGAAGAACACCAGUGGCGAAGGCGGCUCACUGGACUGGUAUUGACGCUGAGGUGCGAAAGCGUGGGGAGCAAACAGGAUUAGAUACCCCAGUAGUC
rnacentral:rRNA from 1 species